ensembl:snoRNA small nucleolar RNA SNORA2/SNORA34 family
CUGGCCCUGAAUCAAGGCUGGCAGCUUCCUGACGCCGUUGAUUUCAAGCAGAAGCCUAAAGAGAUGUCUUUCUGUGGUCUGUUGGCCAUUUCAGAACUUGGGAAGUGAAAUGGUCAAUUCAUCAGAAAGAUACAGCU